GUGCUGAAACAGUGAACCUGACCGGGAAGAGCACCUGAAAAUGGCCACCUUUAAUUACCGGCUGAGCCGUGCCAGCCGGCUCAUAGAAAAUGCGUUUGGGAUCAUGGCCAGCGGGUGGCGAAUUCUACGAAGAGCAUUUCGGGCCUCGGAAAAAACAACAAAAAUAUUGUGAAGGCGUGCGUUGCUUUGCACAACUUUCUGCUCAAGAAUUCUGCCAUGUCAAGGUCAGCGUACAAUCCUCCGGGCUAUGCGGACAGCGAGGACUGGCAAGGAAAUCUCACACAUGGGUCAUGGAGAAAUGACAGGGGGCUGCCGUUGAGGGACAUGGCAGGCCUGGGGUCCCACUCUCCCGAGUAAUUGUUCCAGCAGAUGGGCCGCGGGGAUAAAAAAGUGAUAUUCAGGACUGCUUUGGCAGUACGGGACUGACUGGCCACAUACUUCCUCAACGAUGGAAAGGUCCCGUGGCAAGAAAGAAUCGUAACUCGAGCGGGACAGCAGGAAACAACGCAAGUACCGGGAUGAUGGCACUUGGUCAGCAGGCCUCUUGGCUUAUCUGGGCAAACCAAAGGAAGCAAAUCAGCCAGGACGUACAAGAAUAUUGAAGACAUGAUUUUCUUACCGUGAAGGACCUACAUCGGCUCCCGUGCCUGGGUGUUCAUAGAUGCUGCAAAAUAAAGGCAGACUGUGAAUUUGUGCUUCAGUAUUCUAAGAGGAGUAUGCAGUGCACCUUGCAGCACCAAUAAAUGAUUGAGACCGCACA